AAGUCAUUGCUGGAUUUGAAAACACAAUUGGAAUGAGACUGAAGAUGGGCAUGGCUCCUGUGGAAGGAUGACACAAAAAUUGGGGCACAUUCCAUAUUUUU
ensembl:snRNA U6 U6 spliceosomal RNA